rnacentral:ncRNA from 1 species
UUACAUGAGAGUUUGAUCCUGGCUCAGGACGAACGCUGGCGGCGUGCCUAAUACAUGCAAGUCGAACGGUCUUUUCUAUGGAAGCUUGCUUCCACUGAGAAGAUAGUGGCGAACGGGUGAGUAACACGUGGGUAACCUGCCCAUAAGAGGGGGAUAACAUCCGGAAACGGGUGCUAAUACCGCAUAGGUUUCUUAGUCGCAUGAUCGAGAAAGGAAAGACGGCCUUUGUGCUGUCGCUUAUGGAUGGACCCGCGGCGUAUUAGUUAGUUGGUGAGGUAA